UACGUAGGGCGCAAGCGUUGUCCGGAAUUAUUGGGCGUAAAGAGCUCGUAGGCGGUUUGUCGCGUCUGCUGUGAAAACUCGGGGCUUAACUCCGGGCCUGCAGUGGGUACGGGCAGACUAGAGUGCGGUAGGGGCUGGUGGAAUGCCUGGUGUAGUGGUGAAAUGCGUAGAGAUCAGGCGGAACACCCGUGGCGAAGGCGGCCAGCUGGGCCGUCCCUGACGCUGAGGCGCGAAGGCGUGGGGAGCGAACGGG
rnacentral:rRNA from 1 species